CCCUCCCUGCUUGUCCUCCCCUGUCCCCCACUGUCUGCCCCCGACCGGCCCUCCUCCUGCAGCAGGCAGCCCAUCUUUUGUGCAGUCUGUGAGAAGGGCGGGCAGGGCCGGGCGGGCGUGAACCCGCUGGCAUCCCAUGUGUGCACAGCCCUGGCUUGGGCCUCCCAGCCCCUGCAUCCCGAGCACCCGUGGGGCAGUUGGCAGCAUCCUGGCACGGCCUGGGACAUUAAUUGGUGAUUUUAAUGACUGCUGGUCUGGCAGAGACGGAGUGACUACAGGCUGGGCCGAGCAGGCUGUGAGCAGAAGCUGGGAAAGGCACCCGCCCAGGUCUCCAGGGGAGAGGAGGGGUUUGCAGGGCCCGUCUCAGGACCUCCUUCCCGAGUCGGCUUCCUGGCCACGCACAUUGGGAGCCCUGGGUAGGGUGCGGCCCCUGUACUUAGCUGUCUCUGGUGCUGGCAGUGCCAGUGGGGCACGAGUUCUGGUUUGGGCUGAGGCUGGCCCGCUGGUUGGGGUGGCGUCUGCCUGAGAACUGGUGUUGUCUGUGCCUUAAGCUUCCUGCGCUCACGGGGCCGUGGAAAAGCACUCAGUGAGCCUUUCCUGUCCCAGACGUCCUCCUGCUCCUCCUGAUGCCCCGGCCUCCACGGAGGGCGACCAGCUCCAGCCCAGCUCUCGCCGUCUCCACCUCCCAGUCCCCUGAUGCACCGGGAGCCUCCUGAGCCAUGAACCCCUGCUGGCAGGAGUGGCCCCUGACCGCUGGGGACCCCUGCCCCGGCUGCUGUCAUGUGGAAAGGAUUCAGGGAGCAGGCGCUGCUCAGACUGAAGUGUGGGGGCCGCGCUGCCUGCCCCCAGCCACAGCUGCACACCCAGGUCACGGAUGCGUCGGGAACAGCUGUGGCUCCCGCUGCUCAGCAUCCAUCACGCCAGGCUGGGAGCGGGUCCCCAAGCUUCCGGCUGGGCCCUGUCCAUCUCCACUCUCAGUGGGGGGGGGUUGCUCUCUGACAGUGGGCAGAGGGUCCUCCUGCAGCCCCAAAACAUCCCAGGCAGGGGCCCUGGGGCUCCGAGCAGCCAAGGACAGGCUGCAAGACCUGUGCCUGUCCAUCCAAGCUCAACCUUCAGUUUCCUCGAGGCUCCUUGCCCAGAACGUCCACAUUUGAAACUCCCAACACGGAGCCCCAUUUCAAGAAUAACCAGGAGGGAAAAUGGUGGCUUCACAUAAGCAUGCCACGAAGAAAAACCCAUUUCUCAAGAUGGGCUCUGGCCGCUCAGACCCUCACCUCCCCUGCCAGGAUGGAAUGUCCCAGAGUCCCAUUAGUGCCAAAGGCAAAUUAAAACACACCCUGUAAAAAUGUC